GCCAAGAGGGAUGAGCUCUUGGGGUGGGGGGAGUGGGGCGGGGGUGCGUGGGUUCCAGGUCCUCCCCACCGGGCCGCCACCACACAGCGUUGGUUUUCUUGGGGCCGGUUUCGAAUUGAAUUUGUUCGCUGUCUUUCCAAUCUUGAUUAGCUAGAUACGUCGUCGGUUACAUCAAUUCGAGGACGGCGACAUCUACGAGAUGUCACGUACGUAUCGAAUUCUGACAACCGUCCACCUCGUCAGCAAGUUAUGUAAUUUUGCGUGGGGGACGAUCUCUCGUGACGGAUCUCUCGAUCAAGGACGGCCGACCACAUCGUUGAUGCACGCAAAACCUCUUCUUGGUAACGCGGGCAGGGGGUGACCAUCGCCCAUUAAUGUGCGUUCCCUAUUAAAGGGUCCGCUUCGUAGCCCAUCCUACAGCAAAACGUGCCUCGAGUUGGACUGACUUUGGAGAAAAAGCUUAAUGGAAACCUAACCCGCGUUCCUCGAAGAGGGCCUAAGCGGAACGUGUUAACCUCAAGAUGCGUCCCCACCACCACCACCACCACCACAAGGAGUGGUCCAAGGAAUAGGUUGUCAGGAAAGAUGAUGCAGCAUCGGCCACCGCACCGCCUCUCAGGAAUUCCUGCAAAAAUUUUCUUGUUCUUUGGGGGGGGGGGGGGGGUGUUGUGAUUGUGACCCGCCAUUACUAGGGUUUGCCUAAUUUUGGAGGGGCUAAUCAUCACCUAACGUGUUUGACAAUGGAGGGGUCAGGGGGGUCCUUGAUGAUGGAAUUGAUGGGGAACGGUUGGAGUCCAGAUGGGGUUUCCUUAUUCCAGUGUUCUUGUUGAUCUUCUUGCGGAGUAUAUUGAUCGCUUGAAUUGCAAGAGAAGUGGUUGAGGUGGAAAUCCCGCCGAUUCUUGUUUAGUGUACUGCCUGCGCUUAUCGAUAUCGACUAAGCCGCGUGCUGCGAGGCGUACGUUGAGGUGGAACCCGCGACCGAUCUAUCGGGAAGUUGCCGUGUUCUUUUUUCCCCUGGAAUCGUGGUUCGGUUUACUUCCGGAACAGGACCACGGUAAUUUUGGGUAUGAUUGUGAUCGAUGAGUUGCUUCACUUCGCCUGUCGAUGAUUCUGCUCCGGCCUACACUCGAGAAAUCAUAGGAGACCCCGUGCCGACUCACAUUGCUGAGCUGGAUGAACGAGUUCAUCGUCACUCUAAUCAAAUGGCGCACCCUCUGCAAUGAUCAUGGAGGUCCGUCAUAUAAGACCUAAGUCCCUCUUUCGACAAGAACAAUCAGUUUGGGUCCGACUGUUGGUAAGAGCAUUAGCUUCAUUAGUCUUUACCGAAGUCACCAGAUGCAUAGAAAUUUUUGUAUCACAGGAUUUUGGCGAAAGCAGGACCAACAACAUCGAUACUCUCAGAAGUAUAUGAUACGAUUGUACAGACGAAACGUGUCCACCACGGCCUGUUCUGCUGCUCCUGCAAUUUCGUCCGGUCGGCUUUUGCCAUCUUUAUCGGGCUGCCAUUCCAUUCGAAGGGCAAUCUGUUCAUGCGCGAAAGACUCAACAGUGAAAACAUCUGUGAUAAUUCUCUUGGUAUUGUAUAGGAUGUGUUGGAGAGGAAUUGAAGCUUACAAUGGAAAUGAAAAGGACUUGGAGCUGGUUGUACUGCUAUUCGAUUUCGAGCGAAGAGAGAUGGUACGGAAAUACGGUACUGUAUCCGACUCCGUGGGACGAGUUGCGAUUGGACUAGCUGCAGAGAAAUAGGCGUCGCCGCGAACCUGUUUCUUUAUGAGUAUCUGACCUGAUUUUGUUCUGGUUUCCGACAUCACGCUUCCGAGCAUCAGCUUACUUUCGACUUCAAAAGCAUUUUCAAAUUCCAAACUCCCAGGACAAUCUUGUCUUUGGUUAAUGUUGGGAGGAACAUCAUGCUUGAUUGCUGCCGCUAUAUAUGAUACUGCAGAAAUUGGCGUCGCUGAUGUCUCACCUGGAAUCUGUAACAUCGGACUGUACCAUUUAAAUUACCACGAAUAAGAUGGCAUGCAACAUGUAUGCGUGUUCGCUAUU